rnacentral:rRNA from 1 species
UACGUAGGGGGCAAGCGUUGUCCGGAAUCAUUGGGCGUAAAGCGCGUGUAGGCGGCCCGGUAAGUCCGCCGUGAAAGCCCAGGGCUCAACCCUGGGAUGCCGGUGGAUACUGUCGGGCUAGAGUUCGGAAGAGGCAAGUGGAAUUCCUGGUGUAGCGGUGAAAUGCGCAGAUAUCAGGAGGAACACCAAUGGCGAAGGCAGCUCACUGGGACGGUAUUGACGCUGAGACGCGAAAGCGUGGGGAGCAAACAGG